rnacentral:rRNA from 1 species
UACGGAGGGUGCGAGCGUUAUCCGGAAUUACUGGGUUUAAAGGGUGCGUAGGCGGCCCUGUAAGUCAGAAGUGAAAGUUUGCGGCUCAACCGUAAAAUUGCUUUUGAUACUGCGGGGCUAGAAUUAGGAUGAGGUCAGCGGAAUGUGGCAUGUAGCGGUGAAAUGCAUAGAUAUGCCAUAGAACACCAAUUGCGAAGGCAGCUGGCUAGACCUGGAUUGACGCUGAGGCACGAAAGCGUGGGGAGCGAACAGG